rnacentral:rRNA from 1 species
AAUAGCCUAACGGCUGAACCAGCAACUGGGAGGAAUGAAUGGCGAAAGCUAAUUGUACUUUAUUAGUGCAAUAUCGAUUUUAUCGAAUAAAGUUCUGGGUGGAAUAUAUGAUGAUGACAUUUUCUGCCUAUAUUUCUUGACCAAACUACGUGCCAGCAGUCGCGGUAAUACGUUACAGAUAAGUGUUAUUCAUCUUUAUUGGGUUUAAAGGGUACCUAGACGGUAAAUUAAGCCGGUUCAUAUAAAGGUACUUAUUUACUAGAGUUUAAUGUGAUGGGGCAAAGAUGUACUGCAGGUGUAGAAAUGAAAUUCUUUGAUACCCUCUCUCUACCGGGAGACCAUAUGGCACAGUCAGAGGCGAAAGCAUCUCUUUAUGUAUUAACUGACGUUGAGGGACGAAGGCUCUAUAUAACAAAAAGGAUUAGGUACCCAAGUAGUUGGAAGCAGAAAAUGAUGAGUGUCAUAGAUUAGAUAUAUAUUUAUUCUAUAAAUGAUAGUGUAAGCACUCCACCUCAAGAGUAAUUUGGCAACAUUGGAACUGAAAUCAUUAGACCGUUUCUGAAACCAGUAGUGAAGUAUGUUGUUUAAUUUGAUAAUCCGCAAAAAACCUUACCACAGUUUGAAUAUUUAUCUUUCUAUCUAAAAAUGUAAAAACAAGCGUUGCAUGGUUGUCUUCAGUUAAUGUCGUGAGACUAUGGUUAGUGCCAUGAAAUUAACGUAAACCCUUAUUUUAUUUUUAUAUAAAAUAGUUCCCCUUUACAUGGGAAAUGAUAACAGGGACCAAGACAAGCCAUCAUGACCUAACACCUUAGUAAAAUAAGGGCAAAACGAUACUGUGGCU